CCCCAGGCUAAGACCAUCUCUUCCCUCACCAAGGCACGUGGGCUCCCUGACAGGGGGUGAAAGAAAGAUAUAGGUUAGUGAUGCAGGAGUAGCCUCCACACAUCUUCCUCUAGCAACAGAAUCAGCACUGACCCAAGUCAGCAUACAGGAUUCUGUUGGGGAAGCCCUUUCUGCAGAUCCUGAUGCCUUCCAGCACACCGUUGCAGCGCAGCUGGUGCAUGACCAGAGGAUUCUCCAUGGCCCCAGGAGUCUUGGUCUCAUUGGGGAUGAUGCAACGCACAAAGUGGGGAUGCAGGUCCAGCCUCUUGCAUUGGGUGAAUUCCUGUCAGGGACAGCAAGCAUGACCACACACAAGAGAGAUGCUGAUUCCUUUUGCUUUUAAGUUCCUUCUUCCCUUGACAUCUGCACGUCAGCCCAUUGUACACUUGUAGAUCACCUUCAAUGUCAUCUCAGGAUAGUGUUUUCUUUCCACAGGGACCACAGAAGCAUCUGAGCAGGAUAAUAUAACUGGUAAUGUAUCGUUAUUCUGAAAGGUAUAUUUUACCUCACUUCAAAAAUAUUAAGAAGGAAUACAAUCUGAUACUUUUAAUAUAACACUACUACUCACAACCAUUUUAUGGCCAAUUCACUAUUCUAGGUCAUUCUUGGAGUUGCCCCAACCUCCAGUCAAUAACAGAUUCUGCACGCACCUCUUUACUGUGUAAAACUUUUUUGUAGAACUUUUGCAUUGUGUAGCAUUUUGCAUUGUAUGGACUUCUUGUUACAUGCUUUAUUUGACAUAGAACAACAUUUAGUCUAUAGUGUAGCAUUGCUAAGCAAGUGCACCUCUUGUUCUGAAUGUACACUGCCUUCACUAUAUUAUUAUUAUUAUUAUUAUUGAGUUCUCUAACUGGUUAGCAUUACUCAAAUUGAUUUCAAUAGAAUAUUGUCAUAGAAUAAUGUUGUCAUAUGUAUUCAAGGCUGUUAACAAGACACUGUUUGAAUACAGUGGUCUAUAAUGUAAGUACACUUCGGAUGAUGCGGAUAUGGAGGCUACAUUUUAAUGACACGAAAAGGGUUACUGUUCAAGACAAUGUAUAGAUACGGUCACACCUUUACCAUUGUUGAUGGCAAGAAUACAAAUUUUCCCUCCCUCAUAUUCAUAGUGUCAUCUUUGUUUUCUAUAUAAAAUUGGUAAAUAAUCCAAUUACAUUUGAGACACACUGUAACUAUUACUCACAAUGUUAUCAAAACUUAAGCGAGGUGUUAAAUGUUUGUCUUUUACUA